AAAGGAUUAUAAAUCAUGCAGCUAUAAAGACACAUAGAUGUAUGUUAAUUUAAAAAAGUAAAAGGAACUCGGCAAACUUAACCUCCGCCUGUUUACCAAAAACAUCACCUCUAGCAUUGCUAGUAUUAGAGGCACUGCCUGCCCAGUGACACAUGUUCAACGGCUGCGGUACCCUGACUGUGCAAAGGUAGCUUAAUCACUUGUUCUUUAAAUAGGGACUUGCAUGAAUGGCAUCACGAGGGUUUAACUGUCUCU
rnacentral:ncRNA from 1 species